rnacentral:rRNA from 1 species
AACGGUCAUACCAUGCUGAAUAUACCGGUUCUCGUUAGAUCACCGAAGUCAAGCAUCAUUGGGCGCGGUCAGUACUUGGGUGGGUGACCACCUGUGAACACCGCGUGC